rnacentral:rRNA from 1 species
UACGAAGGGUGCAAACGUUGCUCGGAAUUAUUGGGCGUAAAGCGCGCGUAGGCGGCUUGGCAAGUCGGAUGUGAAAUCCCUCGGCUCAACCAAGGAAGUGCAUCCGAAACUGCUGAGCUUGAGUACUUAAGAGGAUCGCGGAAUUCCCGGUGUAGAGGUGAAAUGCGUAGAGAUCGGGAGGAAUACCUGUGGCGAAGGCGGCCUACUGGGCCGGACCUGACGCUGAGACGCGAAGGCGUGGGGAGCGAACGGG